UACGGGGGGAGCAAGCGUUGUCCGGAAUUAUUGGGCGUAAAGAGCUCGUAGGCGGUUUGUCGCGUCUGCUGUGAAAACUGGGGGCUCAACCCCCAGCCUGCAGUGGGUACGGGCAGACUAGAGUGCGGUAGGGGAGAUUGGAAUUCCUGGUGUAGCGGUGGAAUGCGCAGAUAUCAGGAGGAACACCGAUGGCGAAGGCAGAUCUCUGGGCCGUAACUGACGCUGAGGAGCGAAAGCUAGGGGAGCAAACGGG
rnacentral:rRNA from 1 species